GUUUAAAUCUUGUAAUUAUAUUUCUUACGCCUGCUAUUCGCCAAGUUAAGGCUAAGAGGCUGUUGGUAUGAACUCCAGCGCUACUUAGAGCUUCAAAGCUAGACGAUGUUUGUAUGACUCAAAAUUGCACUUAAAGAAGUCACUUCCAGACGAUUAUCCGAUGGAAAUUGAGGAAGGCCAGCAGGGUUGUCAAGUAACAACGCCUUCAGCUGAAAACAUUACAACACAAAUGGAGGGGAAUCACUACGGACAACAAGCGUACGAGGAGCAAUAUCUCGA